CGGAGGAUCCAAGCGUUAUCCGGAAUCAUUGGGUUUAAAGGGUCCGUAGGCGGGAUGAUAAGUCAGUGGUGAAAGUCUGCAGCUUAACUGUAGAAUUGCCAUUGAAACUGUUGUUCUUGAGUUAUUAUGAAGUGGUUAGAAUGAGUAGUGUAGCGGUGAAAUGCAUAGAUAUUACUCAGAAUACCGAUUGCGAAGGCAGAUCACUAAUAAUACACUGACGCUGAUGGACGAAAGCGUAGGUAGCGAACAGGAUU
rnacentral:rRNA from 1 species